GCUCAGGAUGAACGCUGGCGGCGUGCCUAAUACAUGCAAGUCGAGCGAAUGGAUUAAGAGCUUGCUCUUAUGAAGUUAGCGGCGGACGGGUGAGUAACACGUGGGUAACCUGCCCAUAAGACUGGGAUAACUCCGGGAAACCGGGGCUAAUACCGGAUAACAUUUUGAACUGCAUGGUUCGAAAUUGAAAGGCGGCUUCGGCUGUCACUUAUGGAUGGACCCGCGUCGCAUUAGCUAGUUGGUGAGGUAACGGCUCACCAAGGCAACGAUGCGUAGCCGACCUGAGAGGGUGAUCGGCCACACUGGGACUGAGACACGGCCCAGACUCCUACGGGAGGCAGCAGUAGGGAAUCUUCCGCAAUGGACGAAAGUCUGACGGAGCAACGCCGCGUGAGUGAUGAAGGCUUUCGGGUCGUAAAACUCUGUUGUUAGGGAAGAACAAGUGCUAGUUGAAUAAGCUGGCA
rnacentral:rRNA from 1 species